UCUGGCUCUAGAAAUAUUCCCACACCAAUUCAAACAUCCUGCAUUGAGCUUCAUGGGGGGAAAAAAAGCAAUAUCACCAGGAAAAGAGAGGAGACAGCCUAGGAUUCUCACUGAGGGUGUGAGGGUCAAAAAGAACCCAGCAGAAAAAGGAUGUGGGAUUUUGAUUGUAAAUGGUAGAUCAAAUCAACAUCAACAACUACCUACUCAUAGUUGCACAGCUGCAAAUGGCCGUAAGAGGAUGCAGUCGCUGUGACAAACCGCAUAUAAACGGCCUCAUAAGUGCUUAGGUUACCUUCUCCAGAGAGACUACAGUUUUGUGAGGGACAUCAAUGUAUGGCCUCCCCUGGUGACAGUUGGUAUCUACUCCUCCGCCAUGUCUGCUGCAAUGAGUAACAUCAUAGGAGCUUCCAGGAUCCUGUGUGCUCUGGCCAAAGAUAACUUUCUGGGUGGUGUCUUGGCGCUGGGGAGGAGAACAUACCACAGUGGAAACCCUUGGGUUUCUGAACUUAUCUCCUGGUUUCUUGUACAGAUCAUCUUUCCGUUGUUUCACAUGGCACACCUGUACUCUGGGUGUGCAGGUAUGCCUGGUUAUGAUGUCCCUUAUUAGUUCCAUUCAUAAUUUUGCUGGCAUAGCAUUUAUGCUGCUCCUCUGGAUUCUCAUACACUACCUGGGGCCUAUCAGCAACUACAGUCAUCAGUCAAGCUCUCAUCUUCUAUCAGGUUCACAAGUACUUGUUGCUUCUGGAUGUGCUGAAGGACCAUGUGAAGUUCUGGAGGCCACAGGUGUUGUUGAUGGUUGCAAACCCUCGCAUCUGUACGAGUCUUGUGACUUUCAUCAACGACCUGAAGGAAAGCAGCCUGUAUGUCCUGGGACAUGUGAAGCUUGGACUGCUUGUUAAGUGUCUAUCAAAAAGUUACAGCACUCCUGAGAAGUGGAUAUUUCACACUUGCAGUAAUAUUGUUUUACUACAUGCCAGUGGUAAUUAUGGUCGGGUGAAACUCUGAUCUUCAGGUGUCUUGUUUAGAAAGAUGAAGACUUUAUUUUAAGCAGAUUUAGCAUUAAUGAAUUGGCGUAUAUCUAAAUUCACAAAAGUAUGCCUUUGAUUUGGAGUGAC